UGACUGAAUACAUGUUUGUUUUAUUUGUCUAUAUCCUAGAUUCGCAGCUGGACACAUCCUUCUACACUGUAUGCAAACAUGCAACAUCAUUACACACAGUACAAGGAGUCAGACUGGCAUAUGAGGAGCAAAGGAACCCAGGCAGUAGCAUCAUUUCACAAUGUUUCCAUCAUCAUCAUCAGUGGAUGCCUUUGCCGUCCGUAGCCUGAGAUUUCAGAUUUGCAGCAAAAAAAAAAUGAUUUUCUCAUUUAUUGGAAUGCUGUGCAGGUAUUUGUACCUUGCAGCCAUCCAUUACAAUGUCACCAAGCCGUAACAAAAGCAGGAGAGGGAAAGUACAAGGCUAUGUUCCCAAAACACACAAGUGACAUACCUUAUGUGGAGGAUGUGAUCAGGCUUGUGUUUGAUGAGGUAUUUGAAGAUAAGCUGAAGGAAACCCCGAUUCCAAUGGACCUGGCAUCACAGUUUGAGAGACCUUCAAAGGAGGACGUGAUUGCAUGCCAUCUUCAGUGCAGGGGUCGUCGAAAGCCAAAAUUGUGACCGAUCUGAUCAGGAAGCUCCAAGCGUAUCUGGAGAACAACACACGACAGGAUGAUAACCUUAUAGUGUCGUCUUAGAUAGCACCAGCUGACAAAGCUUUGAUAUGCCAUUUAUCUGAAUAGAUAGCUGUAAGAAAUGAAUUGAACAAUUUUUGAAACAAGAGCACAAUAUGGGUACUAAAGUAUGUUUAUUUGUAUAUUGUUUAACAUUUAAAUAUAUAUUUGUAAUAAAUAAAAAAAACUUUUGACUGACUAUUAUAUUUUCUUUAAAGUUGCAUCUUUUGUUCUUUUGGGUACUUUGUUACUAUAAUGAUACUUUAGUGUUAUUGGUUUAAAAAUGUAAUAAAACUUA